ACAACUGGAAUCAGUGCUUUUAUAUAAGAGACCCCAUAGAGCUCCCUAGCCUGUACACCAUGUGAGGGCAAAUUAAGAAGUCUACAACCAGCAAGAGGGCCCUCUUCCAACAAAUAUGCUGGCGUCUUGAUCUUGGACUUCAAGCCUCCAGAACUGACCCAAUGAAAAUCUAAGUACAAAAAUCAACAUGUCAUAAGUCCACAACAAACAAGAUAUUGCUAAAGAACUGUCAGGGUGGAAGAAAUUUCAGCAAAUUCUGGAAGGCAGCAAGUCCAUGAAAGUGCAGUAAUUAUUGCCCCGGGAUGGAGGAAGCAGCUGCAUAGGACACAACUGAAAAGUGAGAUAGUGCUCCCAGUGAGACCACAGAGACUUGGGACUGAAAAAGAGCCUACCUAGCCCAGGAGAGUGUGAGGAAGUCCCAUGGCUGUACACAUGAUGGUGCCAGGGUGCGAGGGGGAGGGGGGGAAAAA